UACGGAGGGGGCAAGCGUUGUUCGGAAUUACUGGGCGUAAAGGGCUCGUAGGCGGCCGACUAAGUCAGACGUGAAAUCCCUCGGCUUAACCGGGGAACUGCGUCUGAUACUGGACGGCUUGAGUUCGGGAGAGGGAUGUGGAAUUCCAGGUGUAGCGGUGAAAUGCGUGAGAUAUCUGGAGGAACACCGGUGGCGAAGGCGGCAUCCUGGACCGGUGCUGACGCUGAGGCGCGAAGGCGUGGGGAGCGAACGGGG
rnacentral:rRNA from 1 species